rnacentral:rRNA from 1 species
GGUAACUGCGGGGGAGGGGGCGCGGGAAUGGGGGGGGGGGGGGGGUUGUCCGGGGUUAGUGGGCGUAAAGAGCGUGUAGGCGGCUUUGCAGGUCCGCUGUGAAAACUCGAGGCUCAACCUCGAGCUGUCGGUGGAAACCGUGAAGCUAGAGUCCGGAAGAGGAGAGUGGAAUUCCCGGUGUAGCGGUGAAAUGCGCAGAUAUCGGGAAGAACACCCGUGGCGAAGGCGGCUCUCUGGGACGGUACUGACGCUGAGACGCGAAAGCGUGGGGAGCGAACAGGAUUAGAUACCCGGGUAGUC